AAAACAUAAAGGUGUUGCAGGUGUUACCAAAAUUUUCAUCCUAAAUCCGGAACUUAGCGCAAUACCAGCCUCUAUGAGGAGAACUAACUCUAUCCCUGUCACAAAGUUACAUUUCAAUAUUACCAAGAGAUUCCAUCUGGAGAGACUACAUGUCUGUAAAGAACUCAAGUACAAUUGAGAGGACCCUUUGUGAGGGUAUUUUAAGUACAAAUGGGUAUUCAAUGUCAACUUAUGCGGAUAAAAAGAUCUUCAGAGGUAGCAGUGAAACCCAUCUGAGCUGAAAGAACCUGCAGCAGAGGAAAUCACAUAGCCUAGGGUCUAUAGUUCAGAUCCAGGCUUUACAUACCUCUGUAGUCCUGACUUCUCAUCUUUCAAGAUGAGAACAACAUUUUUCUGUAAAGAAAAGGGGGAUGCUCUUCUGAGCAUGCAUGUAUGUUGGUAUUAAACAGAUAUAGACCUGGACCAUGUUCAGGGUAUACACCCAGUCUAGGUUCUCAAAUUCAGUGUUUGGAGCCAGCAAGAGUCUUGAGCUGAACUCACCAGUGGUUUUUUUUGUUUGUUUGUUUGUUUGUUUGUUUCUCAUUCAUGUGAUGUUUAAAUGGUCACAAGCAUGUAUGAAAGAUUAUUUCAGUUGUGGCAUCCCCCUGCAGCAGAAACGGUUGGCCACAUACAAGGCAACAGAUGACUAUUAAUAGUGAUUGCAUCCUGAUGUAGAAAAAUGUCUCACGUAAUGCCAAAUCGCUCUGUAGCUCUCUUGUACUUGUGAAGUAUGCUUGGAGAGACCACAAUGGUUACAUUUAAAAAUGUGUGUAAAUGUAUGUGCUGCGACAUAUAUAAUUUUGAUAAAGGAAAUUUGUAAAAACAUGACUGUAAUAGUGGAGCCUAACUGACUGUCCAGCCACAAGGUGACAGCUAUGUUCGCUACUAUUAAUUACUGGCUCAGCUUCAUUGGUGCCUUCUCCAAUGACAGCUGUUCUAAAUCUCUAAUAUACAGACUGAUUACCACAAUUCUCAAAAUUUUGUAAACCACUACUUUGACUUUUUCUGUCUUGACAAUUAGAGCCAAAUAUUUUGCCUUUAUCAACAAGUCAACAAAACAACCAAAAGUGUUAACUGUGUGAAGAUUGAUAGAAUUUCCUUGUAGAAGUAAGUGUAGUCAUUACCGUGCUAAGAAACAUCACAACCAGCACAUUCUGUGAGGUGAGUAGUCAAUUAACAUUUAUGGACACAGACAGAUAUACACAUAAACACACAUACAAAUGCGUAUUCCCAAUAUAUAUAUAUGUAAUAUGUAUACGCAUACAGUGCACAGUCUGGCUUUGCAGAAAACAUCUGUCACUGAUUGUGGUUUGAUUUGUUUCCACAAGGCAUUAAAUUCCUUUAUCAUAACCAUCUGUCAUUUUUGCCGUGUACGCUGAAUUAAUUGCAGAAUUUUAAACAGCUCAUUUAAAACAAACCACAAACAAAAUUAUUAUCUAGUGAGAGCAGUUUAUGAAUAAUGUGUGUAUUCCUACUGUGAGGACAGUAGCCACUAUUAAGAUUUAAUAAUUCAACUCAUCUCUAAACUUUUAGGAAUAUAGUAAAAAGUCCUGUAACGUAAAGAAGCUCAUGCUGUUAUGAGCAAAUCCCAAAUGCUUCAGAAGUACAGAAUUAAGGUGAAGACAAAAUAAAUUUAAACCUUAACUCUAUUUCUUCAUGCAACAGUGGGAGAUUAAACUUUUGAACAGUGCUUUGAUGACAAAUUAACUUUUAGCAUCAGUAGAAACAACCCUCUGAGUCAAUAGAGGUAUGUCAUCUAUGUUUGCUAAUGUAGAACCCUGGAUUUACUUUAAACCUCCUUUUUCUGCAGAGGUAUAGGAAGUUUGCUUCAGAAUAUUCUCCUACUUCAAUCCUCUGUAAGCUUUAGGAUGGCUUUAUGUCUUUAAUUAUCUCCAUCAAUGGCAUAAUACUCGGAGGAUCAUUGGCCCCUGUACAACACUUUCACAUUCCAGCUUCAUGCAGGAAGAAAAUGGAAGAAAAUGUGAAAAUUGUGGCCCUCUCUUCUACAUGUGGAUAGUCUUGACUAACCUAUGUAAUAAAUAUUAAACGUGGUCAAGCUGUUUUGUGAAGAAAGAUGGCAUACUCUCCUACAUGAAUUGUAUCUAAAAAGUGCAUAAUGGAAAUAUUAGGGUAAGUGCUUGCCAAGAGUCAGGGUUGAACAGGCUAACUCAUUAUACUAAUUGUGUUCUUCAUUCCUUUGUUUUUAUUGUCUAUACCAAUUAAAGAGUCAUUACUAAGAUUACAUGUCCCCAGUUGAGCCAAUUAGGCAACAGUACAUCCUGAUUUUUUAUAUGAAUAUUGUUUCAGUUCAAGAAUUUAUCUAGUGGUCAUUAUUUUUACAUUUUUCAAGACUUAGUCUCUGUCAAACUAAAACCGUGUGCUUGGGCUACUCUGUGU
rnacentral:lncRNA from 7 species